GAUUUUAGCAUCUCCAUUUAAAAUCUGAGGAAUUGUGUCUGAUCUCAGAAUCUAACUAAGCAGGGUCAAGCCUGAUUAGUACUUGGAUGGGAGACCACCGAGGAAGACUAGAUGCUGUAGGCA
rnacentral:rRNA from 1 species